AGUACCCUCGCGACCUGGUUCCACCUCCCCUCGCAGCCUUCCAAAUAAAAAAAAACAAGACCCACGUCCCGUCUCCCAGUCUCCCCCACCUCUCUCUCCCGAUCCAUCCUCUCGAUCUCGCGAGAAAAAUCGCCACCUCGCCUCCGCCACUGCAACAACCGUCGCUUCCAUAGACUACGUCGACAGCGUCUUAGAAGGUUGACCCCUGCGGGGAAGUUGGCGGGAGCUCGCGGCCGACCAGAUCCAGUGCAGCGCCGCCGAUGUCUGGGUGGAAGAUGAGCGCGAGCUUUCGGGGUCAGCAUACCGCCGGGGAGGAGGGCAGACGGAUGAGAGGGAGGCUCUCCAAGGAGGAAGCCGACCAGCUUGUCACCAGGGGAAGCCGACCAGCAUAUAUAUAGGCAUGGUUGUCGUUCACAGAGAUCGUUAGUUUUGAUUUAUUUUUUUCUGAUUGGUUUUUGCCCCAUAACGUCUCCUUCUUCUGCUAAUAGCUAGCCAUGGUCUCGAUCUAUUGGUGGUUCGUGAUGGAUGACUAUCCUUUGUUUUUCUUGAUUGGAUUUGGUGUAGGGGUGGACUAUCUUUGAGAUCCUGCGGUACAUGUCGGAGCAUAACUGGUCGGUGUACGAGGAGGCCCUCAAGGCCAAUCCGGUUCUUGGCAAGAUGAUGAUCAUCAGCGUCGUCUACUCCCUCGGCGACUGGAUAGCCCAGCCCAGGGUGCUCGAGCGCGACGACACGCCUACUGAGUUCCUAGCGCUCGCGAACGCCGGAGUUGGACGCGCCCAUGCAUGCAUUUUAGAUCCGAGGACGGCAUCGUGAACGUAAGCACUCAGUUGCUCCUCAGCAGCAGUUGAUCCACCUGGGGUUCUACUUGAGUUCCUCCGUCCCCUGGCAGCGAGGCAGCAGGUCCCCGUCCCCCCUCUCCGUCUCCGGCAUGUUGAUCCCGGUGGCGUCACAGCGGUGGCAUGUGUGGUGUCAUGUCAUAAUAAGGUAGCAUCUGUUCUUUCCCCACCCUAAUUUUUGUGGUCAGCAUCCGGAGCCCAACCUACCAAUCGUUGUCCCCAAACCUCACUGACUUCUUAUGUGGGUGCUCUUUCUUCCCCCUCUCUCGUUUCACUUGACGCUGAUAGCUGAUUGCUAGAAUCCUCGGUUGUGCUCUUGUCUUCUAAAUUUGGCAUGGUAUGCAUUUGCUUGAGAUGAGGGUAUGGGAUGGAGGUGGCAAUAAUUUCGAGGUUGUGGUUUAUUGGGCUUAUAAUUUCGACAUGAUUAAUGAUAUGAACCGUAUGUUCAGUUUUCCACAAUAUUGGUUUUUUCUAUGCAAUAUGAGGCUAUGUUUCAAGUUAUUAUUAUCUAUUGCCUUGCAUUCGAUGGCUGUACAGUAACAUGCUCUCUGAGAAAAGGUUAUGUUUCAUGUUAUUAUUAUCUAUUGCCUUGCAUUCGAUGGCAAAUUGACAACCGAUGUCAUAUCUUUGCCCACUCAUGAUGCCGAUAAAUAGUUCAAAAAAAUUAGAAAGACGUAUAUAUUUCACUGUGCUAGCUACGUAUGUUUAUAAUGGUUUAUUUUCACCAAAAUUUUGCUGCACUUUGACAGUAGACUAUGUGAUAAUUUGUAACAGAGUUCAGAGAAACUGGGCAACACACAGUUCCAAAAGUGUGCACUACACAUGGAAGAAAACACUGUAGUAUUAGCUGUUGUAAUCUACGAAAUUUUGUACUGCGUGAGUGAGGUUAAGAAUGGCUAACUGAUUGAACUUGUUCACAACAUUAACAGUAAUCAUGAUGAACUUAGUAUUCCUGACUUUCUAUUUCAUGUUGUUUUCUACUGUAGACCUAUUUGCAGGUUUUUACAGAGGAAUUAGUUUAGGUGUUACUGGUUCACUUGCUACAUCUGAAACGUAUUUUGUUGUUAUUGUUACUGAAUCAACUAAGACAUGGCUGGAGCACACUAAUCCUAAUCUAAGAGGCCAUUUCUCUCACUUAUUUGCUGGAGGAGUUAAGAGAGAAAAUAUUUUUUAUGACUAUUGUGUUUUCUUUCCAGAAAAUCUGCAUGACGCGGCGUAAAAUUUAUACUGGUUCUCAGCAUGUUACUAGGAUCUAGCUGCACAAAUGGAUUUUUGUAUGUCCUGCAUGCAUUGUUGAGGAAAUUGUUAACUGGUAGUUGUUCGGUUGGCUGGUGAGUAGGGGAUUAAUCGGCUAAUCGGCAAGUUAAUCGGCCAUUUAAUCAACUAAUCGGACGAUUUAUCGGUUUAUAGGCUACUCGGUGACCCUACGAGUAGGGAUUAAUCGGCAAGUUAACUGGUUAAUCGGAUGAAUUCUUGAACAGGGCCUGCAUGGAGUUCUCAAAAAGUUAUUCCUUGUCAUUUUGUAGUGCCACCAAUACAUUGGGUCUUUGUAUAUUAAAACCUUUCUGGUCUCUGUUUUGGCUCAUGUAAUACUUACCGAUACGAUUUACUUGUUCAUCAGAAUAAUGUGUUGAUUCCUUGACA